rnacentral:rRNA from 1 species
GGAAUAUUGGUCAAUGGGCGCGAGCCUGAACCAGCCAAGUAGCGUGCGGGAAGAAUGCCCUACGGGUUGUAAACCGCUUUUGUACGGGGAUAAAAGCCGCCACGUGUGGCGGUCUGCAGGUACCGUGCGAAUAAGGACCGGCUAAUUCCGUGCCAGCAGCCGCGGUAAUACGGAAGGUCCGGGCGUUAUCCGGAUUUAUUGGGUUUAAAGGGAGCGCAGGCGGGAGCUCGAGUCAGCCGUCAAAUGGCCCUGCUCAACGGGGUCUCGCGGUUGAAACUGGGUUUCUUGGGUGCGGCGGAGGCAUGCGGAACUCGUGGUGUAGCGGUGAAAUGCAUAGAUAUCACGAAGAACCCCGAUUGCGAAGGCAGCGUGCCACUCCGUAACCGACGCUCAUGCUCGAAGGCGCGGGUAUCAAACA